rnacentral:rRNA from 1 species
AUUGCAGGCUGCAACCCGCCUGUAUGAAGUUGGAAUCGCUAGUAAUCGCGGAUCAGCAUGCCGCGGUGAAUACGUUCCCGGGCCUUGUACACACCGCCCGUUACACCAUGAGAGUCGGGAACACCCGAAGUCCGUAGUCUAACCGCAAGGGGGACGCGGCCGAAGGUGGGUUCGAUAAUUGGGGUGAAGUCGUAACAAGGUAGC